rnacentral:misc_RNA from 1 species
AACGCAAAUUGCACUCUCUUCGGAGAGUAUGCCUGUUUGAGGGUCAGUAUUAAUAAAAAUCGGCGUGUUGCUCUUUUGUGACGCUCCGGAGUUUGGGUCAUCUUAUAACGAUACCUUCUGAGGUGUUUUUAAGGGGCUUAAAAUUGACAUCUUUUUUGCGCAUUUUAGACGUACAUAAAUUUUUUUAUUUCGUUUAUUCUAAUGCCAAAAUCUAUUAGAUGCGACCAUAUCGUGUGGUUCCGUGUCUAUAAAUUUUUCAUGAUUUGACCUCAAAUCAGGUAGGAACACCCGCUGAACUUAA